CUUGAAGACAGGCGCUGUGUAGAAGCGCCAUUAGAACAUGUUGGACAAAAGUAUGUUUUAUUGUUUUUACAAAAUAAUGCUAGGAAAAUUGAUUAAAUCUGUUGUUGCCUCAAACGCUGGUGUUUAAGUCACCUGGUUAUGAUUUUUGAGUUGAUAAAUCGAAAGGGCACAUAACAAAAAUACCAGGACAAGAACGAAACUUACGGAUUUACAGCUAAAAGAAAAACAUUUCGAUUGAGCCGGGGAUCUUAAAGAUCAUAAUAGACGUAACUGUGUAUUAGAAGUAACCGACAGAGCGAAGAUGUAAAUGAAAAGGUGGAGAAGAAACAAACGAAAGCACCCAAAUAAAGACAUCAUAAACUUACCAGACAUGUUGGGAGAAGAGAAAAAAUAAACGCUGAAAAUCUUCACAAAUUGUUGCUAGGGAAGGCUCACCCAAGUGCUUCUAAGUUCAAUAUAUGGCCAAGAAUUAAAUAUUUGCAAAAGCGACUGAAAAUCUCAAGUUAGUCUGAAAUCAGGCUGAGGGCAUAGAAUAAUAUUGUAUUACAGCUUGUAAAAUAUAAGUUUGACUUUUUCUCCCCACAUGCCAACUAUUUAAAACCUCCAGAACCCAAUGAUUUGACGAUCAAUGAUUGCGCUAUACUUUCAAUUUGAAUAUUCAAAGGCUCUACAAAAAGAGGUAUCAUUCAGUGGUACACAGUGCAUCAAUACCUAGGAGAAGGUCCCUUGUAAUAGGGUUUGAUGCAAAUUGACCCCCAGACCCAAAACAAGGUGACAUUUUAAUCAUUUUAUCCACCUUUUGAAACGGAUGCAUUAUGUUCCCUAAGAAGGUUCGCAAUUUUCAUGUUACAGGCAAGUGCCGUGUCCAAAUGCUUCCAAAUUGCACACACAGCAUCUUAAGAUUAUUUUGCAAUAUGAGGUAUCGGUUUGAUUUUCAAAUUUGAUCAUUUUAGCAGCAUUUUUCACUUUUUUAAUAAAACUUGACAGUUUGUGGGCGUGGCAUGAUGCUGCCUCUAUCCUCGCGACCACAACAGCAUCCACAGCUUGCAAGCCUCCUAUGAAAUCACAGCGGUGUCGAUCAUCUUAUAUCUCUUAUUCGCGAAGGAACAAUUUAGAUGACUUUAAUAAAGUUGUGUUUAGCAGUUUUAACACACCCAGUUUUAACACCCCCAUGUUAUUCAUUCUACCCUACCCCGUGUACACGCUAGAAGAUGCUGAGCAUCUUUUUGAUGAGAUUUGCUAUUACAAAACUACUUGAAAACAAAUGUAUGUCAUUACAUUUUAAUUGAAUUAAUUAAAUGUCAUGCCUUUGAUGAA